UAAUGAAAGACUGGACGAAGUCGAUGCCGAAGAAACCGAGGAGGUAGAUGAAGGAAGCGAUGAGGGAGACAAUGGCAGCGAUUUCGGGGAGAGUGACGACGUGGAGGGGCGUGGAGUUCCGGAUCUUGUCGCGCCACCUGUGCAGGAGGUAGUAGGCAACGGAGAAAAAUAAAGUGAAGAAAAUGGCGUUGGUGAGGUAGAGGGGGAGGGGUAGCGCGUCAGAUGCCUUAGGGGUUGGCGAUGGAGGGUUGUGGUGAUGAAGGGUCCCGCCGCCGGUUGUGGUGGCAGUAGACGGUUUAGGUGGCCGGCGGCGGAUGUCCAUGGUGGAAUAUUCCGGCGGCGGGAGGAGAAAUUGACGGGUUGGAAAGGAGAGAGAAAAAGACAGAGG
rnacentral:lncRNA from 1 species